rnacentral:rRNA from 1 species
CAUGCAAGUCGAACGAGUUCUGAUUGCUUAAAGGUGCUUGCAUCUUGAUUUGAUUUUGAACGAGUGGCGGACGGGUGAGUAACACGUGGGUAACCUGCCCUUAAGUGGGGGAUAACAUUUGGAAACAGAUGCUAAUACCGCAUAAAUCCAAGAACCGCAUGGUUCUUGGCUGAAAGAUGGCGUAAGCUAUCGCUUUUGGAUGGACCCGCGGCGUAUUAGCUAGUUGGUGAGGUAACGGCUCACCAAGGCAAUGAUACGUAGCCGAACUGAGAGGUUGAUCGGCCACAUUGGGACUGAGACACGGCCCAAACUCCUACGGGAGGCAGCAGUAGGGAAUCUUCCACAAUGGACGCAAGUCUGAUGGAGCAACGCCGCGUGAGUGAAGAAGGCUUUCGGGUCGUAAAACUCUGUUGUUGGAGAAGAAUGGUCGGCAGAGUAACUGUUGUCGGCGUGACGGUAUCCAACCAGAAAGCCACGGCUAACUACGUGCCAGCAGCCGCGGUAAUACGUAGGUGGCAAGCGUUAUCCGGAUUUAUUGGGCGUAAAGCGAGCGCAGGCGGUUUUUUAAGUCUGAUGUGAAAGCCCUCGGCUUAACCGAGGAAGUGCAUCGGAAACUGGGAAACUUGAGUGCAGAAGAGGACAGUGGAACUCCAUGUGUAGCGGUGAAAUGCGUAGAUAUAUGGAAGAACACCAGUGGCGAAGGCGGCUGUCUGGUCCGUAACUGACGCUGAGGCUCGAAAGCAUGGGUAGCGAACAGGAUUAGAUACCCUGGUAGUCCAUGCCGUAAACGAUGAAUGCUAGGUGUUGGAGGGUUUCCGCCCUUCAGUGCCGCAGCUAACGCAUUAAGCAUUCCGCCUGGGGAGUACGACCGCAAGGUUGAAACUCAAAGGAAUUGACGGGGGCCCGCACAAGCGGUGGAGCAUGUGGUUUAAUUCGAAGCAACGCGAAGAACCUUACCAGGUCUUGACAUCUUUUGAUCACCUGAGAGAUCAGGUUUCCCCUUCGGGGGCAAAAUGACAGGUGGUGCAUGGUUGUCGUCAGCUCGUGUCGUGAGAUGUUGGGUUAAGUCCCGCAACGAGCGCAACCCUUAUGACUAGUUGCCAGCAUUUAGUUGGGCACUCUAGUAAGACUGCCGGUGACAAACCGGAGGAAGGUGGGGAUGACGUCAAAUCAUCAUGCCCCUUAUGACCUGGGCUACACACGUGCUACAAUGGAUGGUACAACGAGUUGCGAGACCGCGAGGUCAAGCUAAUCUCUUAAAGCCAUUCUCAGUUCGGACUGUAGGCUGCAACUCGCCUACACGAAGUCGGAAUCGCUAGUAAUCGCGGAUCAGCACGCCGCGGUGAAUACGUUCCCGGGCCUUGUACACACCGCCCGUCACACCAUGAGAGUUUGUAACACCCGAAGCCGGUGGCGUAACCCUUUUAGGGAGCGAGCCGUCUAAGGUGGGACAAAUGAUUAGGGUGAA